rnacentral:rRNA from 1 species
UGAGUACGAGAUGCUACGGCAUCGAAGCAGUCUAUGUCAUACUUCCAAGAAAAGCUUGCACUGUCAUAAACAAAGAAUGCCUGUACCAUAACCGACACAGGUGGGUAGGUAGAGUAUACUAAGGGGCGCGAGAUAACUCUCUCUAAGGAACUCGGCAAAAUGACUCCGUAACUUCGGGAGAAGGAGUGCCUUAUUUCUAAGGUUGCAAUAACAAGAUCCAAGCAACUGUUUACCAAAAACACAGGUCUCCGCUAAGUCGUAAGACGAUGUAUGGGGGCUGACGCCUGCCCAGUGCCAGAAGGUUAAAGAAGUUGGUUAGCAUUAGCGAAGCUGAUAACUGAAGCCCUGGUGAACGGCGGCCGUAACAAUAACGGUCCUAAGGUAGCGAAAUUCCUUGUCGGGUAAGUUCCGACCCGCACGAAAGGCGUAAUGAUUUGGAUACUGUCUCGGAGAGGGGCUCGGUGAAAUAGACUUGUCUGUGAAGAUGCGGACUACCUGCACCUGGACAGAAAGACCCUAUGAAGCUUUACUGUAACUUGAGAUUGAAAUUGGACUUUAUUUGCGCAGUAUAGGUGGGAGGCGUUGAGAAUAAUCUUGCGGGAUUGUUGAGCCAUCAGUGAGAUACCACUCUUGUAAUGUUAGAUUUCUAACUUUGUAUCAUUAUCUGGUCAAAGAACAGUUUCAGGCGGGCAGUUUGACUGGGGCGGUCGCCUCCCAAAGGGUAACGGAGGCGCACAAAGGUUUCCUCUGAACGGGUAGAAAUCGUAUCUAGAGUGUAAAGGCAUAAGGAAGCUUGACUGUGAGACCUACAAGUCGAGCAGGGACGAAAGUCGGUCUUAGUGAUCUGACGGUGCUGAGUGGAAAGGCCGUCACUCAACGGAUAAAAGUUACUCUAGGAUAACAGGCUGAUCUCCCCCAAGAGUUCACAUCGACGGGGAGGUUUGGCACCUCGAUGUCGGCUCAUCGCAUCCUGGGGCGGUAGUCCGUCCCAAGGGUUGGGCUGUUCGCCCAUGAAAGCGGUACGCGAGCUGGGUUCAGAACGUCGUGAGACAGUUCGGUCCAUAUCCGGUGUAGGCGUUAGAAUAUUGAGAGGAGCCUUCUCUAGUACGAGAGGACCGAGAAGGACAUACCUCUGGUGUACCAGUUAUCGUGCCAACGGUAAACGCUGGGUAGCUAUGUAUGGAGUGGAUAACCGCUGAAAGCAUCUAAGUGGGAAGCCCACCUCAAGAUAAGUAUUCC